rnacentral:rRNA from 1 species
GUCUACAGCCAUGCUACCCUGAAUGUGCCCGAUCUUGUCUGAUUUUGGAAGCUACCUGCAGGGUUGGGUUUGGUUAGUACUUGGAUGGGAGACCACCUAGGAAUACCAGGUGCUGUAGGCA